rnacentral:lncRNA from 1 species
GUCUGCACAGGAAUAGCACUAGGGACUAGACAGCCCACAUGGAGAGCUGUGUGUGUGACCAGAGGUGAAGGGGGCGCACUGUUCAGCCGCUCUCAGGCCGGGGCGCCCUAGGAUUCUCUGGAGGCCACAGCCUGGAGUGCCAGGCCUUCCCUCUUGGAGAGCUGAAGUCCUGAGCGCAGGGACAUCAUGGGCUCUUAAUUCAGAGAAUGAUACGUGAAAGGGAUCAGAGAGAAACACAACGACACCCUUGCAGGAGUGUGGACAAUAAAUGGUGGUGUAACAAGCAGACAGGAGCUGUCCCUACCGAAGGCUUUCCUAGGACAUGA